rnacentral:tRNA from 1 species
GCCUUGGUAGCUCAGUUGGAUAGAGCAACGGUUUUCUAAACCGUGGGUCAGGGGUUCGAAUCCCUUCCGGGGUAC